rnacentral:rRNA from 1 species
GACGAACGCUGGCGGCGUGCUUAACACAUGCAAGUCGAACGGAAAGACCCUGCUUUUGUGUGGUGCUCGAGUGGCGAACGGGUGAGUAACACGUGAGUAACCUGCCCUUGACUUUGGGAUAACUUCAGGCAACUGGGGCUAAUACCGGAUUGGAGCUCCUGCUGCAUGGUGGGGGUUGGACAGUUUCGGCGGUUGUGGAUGGACUCGCGGCUUAUCAGCUUGUUGGUGGGGUAGUGGCUUACCAAGGCUUUGACGGGUAGCCGGCCUGAGAGGGUGAACGGCCACAUGGGGACUGAGAUACGGACCAGACUGCUACGGGAGGCAGCAGUGGGGAAUAUUGCACAAUGGGCGGAAGCGUGAUGCAGAAACGCCGCGUGCGGGAUGACGGCCUUCGGGUUGUAAACCGCUGUCGCCUGUGACGAAGCGUGAGUGACGGUAAUAGGUAAAGAAGCACCGGCUAACUACGUG